GGUCCAAGUGUAAUCAUGAUGCAAUUGGAGGGAGGUCUGAGGGUAAUAAUGAUGGGCUGGAGGGAAGUAUGAGUGGUAAUACUGAUGGGAUGAAGCAUGUCUGAGGGUAAUAAUGAUAGAAUUGGAGGGAGGUGUGAGGUAAUAAUGAUGGGAUGGAGGGAGGUCUGAGGUAAUAAUGAUGGGAUAAAGCAGGUCUGAGGAUAAUAAUGAUAGAAUUGGAGGGAGGUUUGAGGGUAGUGAUGAGAUGGAGGGUGGUGUGAGGUAAUAAUGAUGAGUUGAAGCAGGUCUGAGGUUUAUAACAAUUGGAUGGAGGUCUGAGGGUAAUAAUGAUGGGAUGGAGAGAGGUUUGGGGUAAUAAUGACGGGUUGAAGCAGGUCUGAGAUUUAUAACAAUUGGAUGGAGGGUGGUUUGAGGGUAAUAAUGAUGGGAUGUAGGGAGGUUUGAGGGUAGUAAUGAUGGGAGGGAGGGAGGUCUGAGGGCAAUAAUGAUGAAAUGGAGGGAGGUCUGAGUGUAAUUAUGAUGGGAUCGAAGGAGGUCUGAGGUAAUAAUGAUGGUUGGAGGAAGGUCUGAGGUAAUAAUGAUUGGUUUGAGGGAGGUCUGAGAAUAAUAAUGAUGGAUGUAGGGAUGUCUGAGUUAAUAAUGAUGGUUGGAGGGAAUAUGAGGGUACUAAUGGUGUAUGGAGGGAGGUCUGAGACAAUAACGUGUGUAGAAAGGUAUCAGGUACUAAUUAUGGGAUGGAUAGAGGUCUGAGGGUAAGAAUGAUGGAACCAAGAGAGGUCUCAGGGUAACAAUGAUAAGAUUGAGGGAGGUCUGAUAUAAUAAUGAUAGGAUAGAGAGAUAUCUGAGGUAAAUAAUAUUGGGAGGGAAGGAGGUAUGAGGGCAGUAAUGAUGAAAAGGAGGGAGGUCUGAGGGUAAUAAUGGAAUUGGAGGGAGGUCUGUGGGUAAUAAUGAUUGGAAGGAGGGAGGUCUGAGGGUCAUAAUGAUGGGAUGGGAGAGGUCUGAGGUAAUAAUGAUGGGAUGAAGCAUGUCGGGGUUAAUAAUGAUGGGUUCGAGGAAGGUUUGAGGGUAAUGAUGGGAUGUAGGGAGGUCUGAGAACAAUACUGAUGAAAUGUAGGGAGGUCUAAGUAAUGAUGGAGGGAGGUCUGAGGUAAUAAUGAUGGGAUGAAGCAGGUCUGAGGUUUAUAAUAAUUGGAUGGAGGGAGGUUUGGGGGUAAUAAUGAUGGUAUGGAGGGAGGUCUGAGUGUAAUGAUGAUGUGAUGGAGGGAGGUCUGAGGGUAAUAAUGAUAGAAUGAGGGAGGUCCUAGGUAAACAUGAUGGGAGGAGGAGUUCUGAAGUUAAUAAUGAUGGGAAGGAGGGAGGUCUGAGGGUAAUAAUGGUCUGAGGUAAUAAUGAUGGGACGGACCAGGACCAAGGUUUAUAAUAAUUGGAUAGAGGGAGAUUUGAGGGUAAUAAUGAUGGGAUGUAGGGAGUUCCGAGGUUAAUAAUGAGAUUAAGGAGGUCUGAUGUUAAUAAUAAUUGGAUGGAGGGAGGUCUGAGGUAAUAAUGAUGGAGGGAAAUCUGAGGGUACUAAUGGUAUACAGAGGGAGGUCUGAGAACAUAAUUACACAUGUAGGGAGGUAUGAGGAAUUACACAUGUAGGGAGGUAAUGAUGGAAUGGAAGGUCUGAGGGAAAUAAUGAUAGGAUGUAGGGAGGUCUGACUGUAACAAUAUGGGAUGGAGGAAAGUCUGAGGGUAAUAAUGGAACUGGAGGGAGAUCUGAGGGUAAAAAUGAUGGUAUGGAGGGAGGUCUGAGGGUAUUAAUGAUGGGAUGUAGGGAAGUGUGAGGGUAAUAAGGGGAUCAAUCAGGUCUGAGGGUAAUAAUGAUAGAAUUGGAGGGAGGUCUGAGGGUAACAAUGAUGGAGAGAGGUCUCAGGGUAAUAAUGAUGAGAUGAAGCAGGUCUGAGGGUAAUAGUGAUAUAAUUGGAGGGAGGUCUGAUAAUAAUGAUGGUGGAAGGGAAAUCUGAAUGUACUAAUGAUGUAUGGAUGGAGGUCUGAGAUAAUGAGGCAUAUAGGGAGGUAUGAGGUACUAAUGGCAUAGAGGGAGGUGUCCAGUAAUAAAGAUGAAAUUGAGGACGGUCUGAUGGUAAUAAUGAUGGGAUGGAGGGAGGGAGGUCUGAAGGCAAUAAUGAUGAAAUGGUGGGAGGUCUGAGGGCAAUAAUGAUGGGAGGGAGGGAGGUCUGAGGGCAAUAAUGAUGGAACUGCAGGGAGAUCUGAGGGCAAUAAUGAUAGGAUGGAGGGAGGUGUGAGUUAACAAUGAUGGGAUAAAGCAGGUCUGAGGUUAAAAAUGGGAUAGAGGAAGGUCUGAAGUAAUUAUGAUGGAUGUAGGAAGGUCUGAGAAUAAUAACGAUGGAGGGAGGUCUGAGGUACGAAUGAUGGCACGGGGGAAGUCUGAAGUACCAGUAUUGGGAUGGGGAGGUCUUAGGUCAUAAUGAUGAAAGGAGGGAGUCUGAGGUAAUGAUGAUGAAAUUGAGGGAGGUUUGUGGGUAAUAAUGAUGGAAUUGGAGGGAGAUCUGAGGGUAAUAAUAUGGGAAGGGGGUAGGUCUGUGGGUAAUAAUGAUGGAACUGGAGGGAGGUUUGAGGGUAAUAAUGUGGGAAGGGGGAGGUUUGUGGGUAAUAAUGAUGGAAGGAGGGAUGUUUGAGGUGAUAAUGAUGGGAUGAAGCCGGUCUGAGGGUGAUAAUGAUGAAUGGAGUGAGGUCUCAGGGUAAUAAUGAUAAGAGGAGGGAGUUCUGAGGUAAUAAAGAUGGGAUGGAGAGAGAUCUGAGAAUAAUAAUGGUGGUGGAGGGAGGUAAUAAUGAUGGAAUUGUAGGGUUGUCUGAGGGUAAUUAUCCGAUGCGGAAGGUCUGAGGGUCAUAAUGGUGGAUGGAGGGAGGUCUAAGGGUAGUGAUGAUGGGACAGUGGUAGGUCUGAGGGUAAUCACGGUGGAUGGACUGAGGUGUUAGGUAAUAAUUAUGGAUGGAGGGUGGUAUGAAGGUAAUAAUCAGAGCAUAGAGUGAGGUCUGGGGUAUUAAUGAUGGGAUGGGGGAAGUCUGAUGGGUGGAAGGAGGACUGAGGGUAAUAAUGAUGGAUGGCUGGAGUGUCAGGUGUGAGGGUUGAGUGAUGCUCUGUGCAGGGCAGGAUACCCGAUGUCAUAGUUAGUAGAUGUGGCCUGUUAGUAGCAAAGCAUUGAGAACCUUCUAGUUAGUCAUGGUGGUCCUGACCACAGGCAAACAACAUCUGCUUGCAAAGGUGAAAGGGGAAGAACAGCAGCAUGGGCUUCCCCCACAGCCCACGGGCACCUGAGCUUCCCGGGGAGAGCCCCGGUGGGCGGCUGGGAAAUCACUCAGCAUGUCACCAGCCCUCCAGGUUCACCUUGGUGGCCAUGCUGUGCCCCACACAGGUUCCUGCUGCCCCGUCUACUCUGGGCCUGUUACUCAGAGCUGGGAGCACCAGCCACCGCCCAUUGCUGUCAGGGCAUUCCCGGUGGGACAUCAGUGUGGUGUCCCCAACAUCAGGGGCUGCAGAGCUGGGGGGCGGCAGGAGCCCCCCCCCAAACAAUGUUCAGAUAUCGCAGGGACGUCCAGCACGGGCCCUGACACCACCUCUCACAUCCUGGAGGAGCUUCCCUGAGUGCCCUGUGGCAGCAGCUGACAGAAAGCGAAGACACAAGUGUGAUGCCACACGAUGGUGACCCCCCACACGACUGUGCACACCACUGAAGGUGGCGCGCUUUUCCACCGACACAGGCUGUUUCCUUUAGAGAAGUAUUUUGAACUGCAGGUAACAUGUGGCCUGCACGACUCGUCAGAGACCCGAAAGAGGAACCUUUGCCCUGCUCAACGUCAGAUGUCCCUGCGACAGGAUGUGGGGAAGGGGCUGAGGAGAAGGCGCCACACGGGCCCGGGUGGCUGCCAGGACAGAGGCAGGUGGCACCACCUUCGCUCUGAGACAAACUGCAAAACCGGCCAACAGUUCUUCAAGGCCAGAGGCUUUGCUGACACUGUCUCAGAAAUUCCGUUCAAGAAUCCCAGCGGCCUGUAGGCGAUUCUAAGGCUAUUACGUGAAAUGGGCUGGUGGAGGCUCCCAUCGGAGCCCCCAGGCCUGAGAGGGCUCCAGCCUGCUUCCGGCUGCGUCCACGCGCACGCGCCCCGCCAGUUCCGAUCCGUUUGUAGACCUGGCGCCAGCGCCACCCGUCAGAACGUCUCCCGCCGGCCUGCCCCUCCGCCGGGCUUUGCUGUGGCCUGGGCCACCGAGCUCUGCCCGGGGUCCCACCGUGGACAACCCUGCCUCCCACCCAUGUGCGGACGUGGUCGUGCGCUUCUGCGUUGGACGGGAACAACAGGGACCCUGCACAAGUGACGGUGCUGCCAUAGGAAGGGACAGCUGCGGAAGCAAACCCAGGACGUCUGCGACCAGAAUUAAAACAUGAACAAAGAAGAGCCAUGCCUCUAAAAGUGGCAGAAGUGACAGGAGAACUUCUCUAGGUGGUGUUUGUUUUAAAAACCACCUGACUUCUAUUUCUCAGGACAGCCCCUGAGCCUGUUUGAAUCUAACGGAACAACACGGAAGCCAAGAGCUCGGAGGGUUUUCCAACUUUUCUCAGACUGAGAUUCUACCUUCCUGCCACACUGUUCAAACUGUGGCUCACAAAUCUGUGAGCCCCUGACAACGUGGCAGCCGGUGGAGGCUCUAAGCCCGUUUUCUGGAAGACAGAAUGGGCUGGCUCUGCACCUGCACGGACUCUACAGGAUAAAAAAGGAGCAUGAGCCCUGGUCCUCCAUCCUGCCCCUGAGUCCUCUGGGGCCCUGGUCCUCCCAUCCUGCCCC